CACAGACAUGCUCCCUAAUACCUUAGAUAUAAUUCACUGGCUUUUGUAGAUUUGUGAGAGUAGGAACCCUAUUCAAAUCAGAGUUCCAAACCUUACUUGCUCUGUGAUCAUAGAUUCCAUGUCCAAUAGAUGAGGUGGGUGUUCAGAUCCAGGAGGAGUGGAGUGAAUUUUUCCAGCCCUCAUAUCCACUGUCCUGCUAUCUCCUCAGCUUUGGAGAUAGUUCUUGCAGUUGAGUCCUGAUGCUAACGAGAGGAUGGCCCUAUGAAAACUAUGUGCUGAGUGGGGUUAAAAUGGUCCCUAUAUAACAUUUCUCAGUUUCUGAAUAAAGUAUCCUGGAAGACACUGAAAAAUAUGGGAACUAUGAUUGACAGUUAAUCUACUGCUUGAGAUUGAGAGAACUUUUCCCAAACUACUCGGCUGAAGAACUGAACUGAAAAAGCCAGUCAGCAGCUGCCUGUGCUUGGAAAUGAACUAAGACUACCUUCCUAAAAGUGAGUCUCCAACUAUUGUUCUAUCAAGGCCUGCAUUGAGAAAAGGAUUAGACAAAGACCACUGGCACCAUAAUGUUAAACACUGAAGAGAACUUUGACAAAUACGAACCCAUCUGAAACUCAAAACAGACUCGAGGAAGGGAGAGCUUUGUAUUCCUACUCAUCUAAACAGAUGAAUCAGCUGGACCCUGAGGAGGAGAAUAUGAUUAAUCUAAG